rnacentral:rRNA from 1 species
GUAGGUGGCAAGCGUUGUCCGGAAUCAUUGGGCGUAAAGCGCGCGCAGGCGGUUCUUUAAGUCUGAUGUGAAAGCCCACGGCUCAACCGUGGAGGGUCAUUGGAAACUGGAGAACUUGAGUACAGAAGAGGAAAGCGGAAUUCCACGUGUAGCGGUGAAAUGCGUAGAGAUGUGGAGGAACACCAGUGGCGAAGGCGGCUUUCUGGUCUGUAACUGACGCUGAGGCGCGAAAGCGUGGGGGAGCAAACAGGAUUAGAUACCCUGGUAGUCCACGCCGUAAACGAUGAGUGCUAAGUGUUAGGGGGUUUCCGCCCCUUAGUGCUGCAGCUAACGCAUUAAGCACUCCGCCUGGGAGUACGGCCGAAGGCUG